ACUGUGGAAACAAAGACACCUACAUCUUGGAUGCCCUUGAGAGUGCUUGGGGAAGAAAAUAGCCAUCUGGCGUUCUAAAAGCGGACUCUGGGACGCACGGCGCCCACGCUUUCCGCCAGUGGGUCAGUGGGUGAGAGUCUCCAGGGAGGGACUGGUUGAACUGGUCCAGAGAGCGGUGGGUGGUGUGGGCCGAGCGCACCUGGAACACACGGGUGUGAAGGUCACAACGCUCCACAUGUCAUCAGUUUGUUUUUAGUUCUGUUUGGCAUAGAGGGAGCCCGAAGAAAGAAAAAAAAAGCAGUGACGUGGAUGCAACAGAUUUGUUUGGUGCUGUUGCCAUUUAUCGGGCAUGCAUGAUGACUAAUAAGCAGGCUAAAAGUGAAAUGUUCUUGUCACAUGUUGGAUUUAUUUAUUUGUUCUCCUUCAAUACACGAACAUCCAGUA